CAGUGGUGCAUGGCAAUGGACCAAGGGAAAAUCCCUUCUGAAAUAAAGGCCCUACUCACUGGAGAAGAGCAGAACAAAUCUCAGCAGAACUCAAGCAGGCACCUGAAAGCUGGGAAGACAGACGCUAACAGCAAUUCCUGGUGAAGAGCAUAUAAAAUGAUGAGUCAGUGAUUGAAGCCAAUAUUCUGAUUCUUAUUGGAGGAUGAAUAGGCAAGAUUGUACUUCUUGGCUCCAUUUACUACCUACUGCUCAGUCAUCUCUGUAAAUUUGCAAUUUCUACCAAAAUGUGUGAUCAUAGAUCUCAAAGGAUUUUGCUUUAGUUUUCAACACUUAGAAAAUUUACAGACAUUCAGACCUGUUCUGGUUGGUAUUGCCACCCAUGGCAUUUAACAAAUGUUGCAAUGCUUGAAAGUACAGUAGAGAGAAUGAGUGAAGAUUAUAUUUUUUGCACCUCAAUUCCACAUUGCUUUAUUGGUUAAUUUAUAUUCUUUCCAUGUAAUUCAUGUAAUUGUAUGUGUAUGUGUGUUUAGGUGUCACUUCCUUUCAUGUUUUUGAUUGCCCUACAAAGAGAAACCAAAUGGGCUGAUUACUGACUAUAAGUUCUCAGCCUUUAUGGACCUAAUCUUAUUCCUUUAUAUUUACUUGAGUAAUGUUUAUUUUCUGCAUGAACCAUUUCUCCUGUGAGCCAUUCCAGCAUAAGCUGUGAAUAUGUAUUAACAAAUUUAUACAUUUCUAUUUUUAUAAUCCAUAAUGAUAUGCCCGUUUUAAAUAAUGUACACAUUAACAAAAUCCAUCAAGGAAGCCCUUAAGAUAGCCUCUAUUUAAAACUUUUGUUGCUGUCUUUUCUAACUGUAUUUAUACAGGUUUACUAGGGCCUAAUCUGUACUUGGAGAAUAAUUAGUCAAACUUUAUUUUUAAAUAAGAAGUAACCUGUUAGGCAUUUCAGUAACAUACAUCGUCUUGACAACCCAUACAGUGUGUUUCUAUUGUAUGUCUAUAUAUGUAUAUGGGGAGGGCAGGAGUGAAUGUUCACACACAUUUCGUUUUGUAAUCACCUAAUUUGGAGAAUUUUUCUAAAGAAAAUAGGAUGAAAUUAGCUGCUGAGAUGGAGUUUCUGCCUCAAGAGAUCUGGAACGAAAUGAGGGACACAUUGCUGGUGGAUCUAAUGGCGGUAGCCAUAACCAGAACACUUAGUUUCUUCCCUGAUUUGAGUUUCCUUAUGAAUGUAUUCUGAGCCAGAGAGAAACACACUGUGGGUGUGCAUCCGAUUCAGCCCUGGCCAUGCCUCCACUCUGGAGUGAAGCACUGAAGCAGAGUCGCCAGGGGGCCUGGCAGGAGGGGCAGAAGGCAGAGGAGUUCCCUCCAGUUCCCACCACAACUACCUUUGCUUUCUUCCUGGCUACCAA